UACGUAGGGGGCGAGCGUUGUCCGGAAUUAUUGGGCGUAAAGAGCGUGUAGGCGGUUCGGUAAGUCUGCCGUGAAAACCUGGGGCUCAACCCCGGGACUGCAUUCGAUACUGUCAGGCUAGAGGUAGGUAGGGGAGAUCGGAAUUCCUGGUGUAGCGGUGAAAUGCGCAGAUAUCAGGAGGAACACCGGUGGCGAAGGCGGCGACCUGGGUAGAUACUGACGCUGAGGAGCGAAAGCGUGGGGAGCGAACAGG
rnacentral:rRNA from 1 species